rnacentral:rRNA from 1 species
AAGACUCCCCACCCUCCCGUUCGCUUUCACUGCGCGCACGGGUUUGACACCCGAACACUCGCGUAGAUGUUAGACUCCUUGGUCCCGUGUUUCAAGACGGGUCGUUUACGACCAUUAUGCCAGCGUCCGUGCCGAAGCGCGUUCCUCGGUCCAGGCUGGCCGCAUUGCACCCCUGGCUAUAAGGUGCCCCGGAGGGCACUACAUUCCAGGGGCCUUUGACCGGCCGCCCAAACCGACGCUGGCCCGCCCACGGGGAAGUACACCGGCACGAAUGCCGGCUGAACCCCGCGGGCGAGUCUGGUCGCAAGCGCUUCCCUUUCAACAAUUUCACGUGCUGUUUAACUCUCUUUUCAAAGUGCUUUUCAUCUUUCGAUCACUCUACUUGUGCGCUAUCGGUCUCCGGCCAGUAUUUAGCUUUAGAUGAAAUUUACCACCCCCUUUAGAGCUGCAUUCCCAAACAACUCGACUCGUCGAAGGAGCUUUACACGGGCACGGACACCCCGCCCAAGACGGGAUUCUCACCCUCUCUGACGGCCCGUUCCAGGGCACUUAGACGGGGGCCGCACCCAAAGCAUCCUCUGCAAAUUACAAUGCGGACUCCGAAGGAGCCAGCUUUCAAAUUUGAGCUCUUGCCGCUUCACUCGCCGUUACUGAGGCAAUCCCGGUUGGUUUCUUUUCCUCCGCUUAUUGAUAUGCUUAAGUUCAGCGGGUAUCCCUACCUGAUCCGAGGUCAACCUGGAAAGAAUGGUUGGAAAACGUCGGCAGGCGCCGGCCAAUCCUACAGAGCAUGUGACAAAGCCCCAUACGCUCGAGGAUCGGACGCGGUGCCGCCGCUGCCUUUCGGGCCCGUCCCCCCGGAGAGGGGGACGGCGACCCAACACACAAGCCGGGCUUGAGGGCAGCAAUGACGCUCGGACAGGCAUGCCCCCCGGAAUACCAGGGGGCGCAAUGUGCGUUCAAAGACUCGAUGAUCACUGAAUCUCAUCCGCUAAAGGG